rnacentral:sRNA from 1 species
AAAGCGAGAAAGCGUUGCCGCAGGCAACGACCCGAAGGGCGAAGCGCGCAGCGCUGAGUCAUCCUUCCCCCCUCAUCC